rnacentral:rRNA from 1 species
GACGAAGGAUGCAAGCGUUAUCCGGAUUCAUUGGGUUUAAAGGGAGCGUAGGUGGCCUUAUAAGUCAGUGGUGAAAUCUCUGGGCUUAACCCAGAAAUUGCCAUUGAUACUGUAGGGCUUGAGUAUAGAUGCCGUUGGCGGAAUAUGACAUGUAGUGGUGAAAUACAUAGAGAUGUCAUAGAACACCGAUUGCGAAGGCAGCUAACGAACUAUAACUGACACUGAGGCUCGAAAGUGUGGGGAUCAAACAGG